AGAGACGCGGUCAACCCAGCCACGAUACGAGCCAAAGCAUUCUUCGCUCCAAGCCUGGUUCUGGCUGUUAGUUUGGAACUCACACACGCAGAUGCUAACUCGCCCUCAGAAUGCAGAGAGGAUGAAACACUGACCGGACAGUUCAAUCUGUAUAUGGGUGAGUCCAGGGCUUAGUCUGCAUUGCGCUGAAAAUGAAGGUGAAGGUGGAGGUGGGACCUGAUAGUCUCGUCCCGAAUCGGGUUGAAGAAGCGGAAGGAAAGGAAUCAAAAUCGUGGAUGGGAUGAGAUUGUGCGCGGAUGCUCUCUGGGAGCGGUUCGUGGGCGACGAGGGCCCGAAGAUGCUGCCUUGUGAUCGCAGGAGAUAAACUGGAGGGGAAGACGAACGGCAGGAGGGUGAAGAGGAAGCUGAAUGACCGUGCAAACACCCCCAACACAAAUCCGGGUGGUUACCGCAGAGUGAAUAACGAUAGGUACGAUUUCGUGGAAGGCAACGUCCUUUGAAAGGGCUCCCAGAGCUUCCAGGCCCCCUCCCCUGAUGAACGAGUGAAUCAGGCAGGCCCAGCUCCACUUCACGGAUGGCAAAACUGAGGUACGAGGCGGCGAGAUGACUGGCCCAAGGCCUCGCUGAAAGAUCCGAGGCGGAGCGGAGAACCAGAAGCACCUCUUCUCUCAGGCUCAUGCUCUAAUCUGGGCUCCCCCCCGCCCCUGCGAUGGCGUAGACGGCCUCCGCCCCCCCGACUCACACACACACACCCUCCCCCGGGAACGGCAAGUCUCCUCGGGUUCCAAGGACGGGGUCAAAAGACAAGAGGCCCCAGGCGCUCCCGCGGUGAUUUGCGCAGAGCGUUGGGAGCGUGCGUGCCUCCAGUCCAACGUGGCGGCGGCAGCGGCCGCCCGCCCACCCCAAGCCUCCUUAAGGGCCGGAGGCUUCUCCUCAGGGUCCUCGGGUAGGUGGGAAGACAGAGCAGCCCCGCCAGGCCUUUCUUGUCGCUGCCGCUGCUCACUGAAGGAGUCACCUACCCGACAAGACUAACGGCUGCGGCUGCGGCUGCGGCGCGGAGGCCCCACAGCCCGCCGAGAACCAGGAAUACGAGAGCCAGGCGGCACCGCGGCCGGAGCUGUACUGAGCAAGAAAGAAGAUUUAAAAGUAAUGUAUUGUUAUGAGAUCCGUGCUUUUAUCUUGUCUCAGACUCCCAAUGAUAGGCAUAUAUCUCCUCUGUACAUUUAAUGAAGCUACUAAAAUAUUUCGAUUUAAAUCUUCCACCUAUUUGUUUUCUGUGUAUCCUACCUGUUCACGACCUUGACAUUUUCAAACAAUACAGGUUACUUAUUUUGUUUUUGGUGAUGGUGAGUUUUGGGGGGUUUUGUUUUUUGGUUUUAGUUUUGGAGACAGGGCUUUGCUCUAUCGCCCAGGCUGGAAUACAAUGGCGCGAUGAUAGCUCACUGCAGCCUCCAACUCCUGAGCUCAAGGGACCCUCUUGCUUCAGCCUCCUGAGUAGCUGGGACUACAGGCCUGCGCCAUCACGCCUGGCUAAUUUUUUAUUUUUUGUAGAUGGGGUGUUGCUAUGUUGUCCAGUGUGGUCUCAAACUCUUGGGCUCAAGAGAUCCUCUCACUUCUGCUGCCCCAAGUGCUAGGAGUACAGGCACGAGCCACGGCGCCUGGAUAGUUAUUUUGUAGAGUGUUGUUUAAUUUGGAUGUACCUCAUCUUUUAUACAUCUUUGGAAGGAAUACCACAUAAUUAAUGCGGUUUAUCCCAUCAAGAGACACACAGUGUCAAUGUGUUCCAUUCUUGGUGAUGUUAACUUUUAUUACUUAGUGAAAAUUCUAAGCGUUUUCACCACUGUAGAGUGAAUAAAUGAAUAUGUGAGAUUCAUCAAUGAAUAAGUAAAAAGAAGCCAGCUGGCGAAAGAACUGAGUUGAGAGGAUGGCUUAAGCCUGGGAGGUCGAGGCUGCAGUGAGCUGUGAUGGCACUACUGCACUCCAGCCUGGGUGACACUGCAAGACCCUGUCUCAAAAAAAAAUUAAAUAAGUAAAUAAAUACCCAGCACCUGAUCAUCUCGGGAAUUUCCUGUGCCUCUUUCUUAUAUUGGGUCACUGGUUUCUUGGAGCUUAUGUCUUUCUUUUUCUUUUUUCUUGGUUUAGCUUCUCAUUUUUGUAAAAAACACAUUCUUAUUUUGUUUACCACUUUGAUAAAGGUGAAUUUGGGAUAAAACUUUUGGAUCCUUAUAAGCUUAACAGUGUCUGAAUUCUACCU